rnacentral:rRNA from 1 species
CGCCGUGCCGGCGACCGGCGGCACGGGUGAGUAACACGUAUGCAACCUGCCCGUGGCAGGGGGAUAAGCGGGGGAAACCCCGUCUAAUACCGCGUAACGCGGCCUUGGGGCAUCCCAAGGCCGCCAAAGGGAGCAAUCCCGGCCACGGAUGGGCAUGCGGCGCAUUAGCUAGUCGGCGGGGUAACGGCCCACCGAGGCGACGAUGCGUAGGGGUUCUGAGAGGAAGGCCCCCCACACUGGUACUGAGACACGGACCAGACUCCUACGGAAGGCAGCAG